ACCUCCCUCACAUACCCUGGCUCUUACAUUCAUUUAGAACUUGGUCAGUGGAAAGCACAGCCAGCUUGUUUGUUUCCCAUGUGUACUGAUCAUAGACCCCGUCGCUCCUCCUACAUCUAGCCUGGGUAUGUGGCAUUUUAGGCUCUCGUGGGCCCGGUGGCAGGAAGAAGCAGGUGAGGGGACGGCUGAAAGAAGGCUGGUGUAGCAGGAGGAAAGCUGGGGAGGGACGAGCACAUCAAGAGUGGUGUGACAGCAGAGGGGACCAAAGCCAUGAACGUGGGCCUGGCAGGCAAUGCCAAGAAGAUUAGUUUUGUCUUUAUCCAGUUAGAGCAGCGGUUCCUGACCUCCUUGGCACCAGAGACCAGCGCUCCUAUGAGAAUCUAAUGCCCGAUGAUCUGAGGUGGAGCUGAGGUGGUGAUGCUAGCGCUGGGGAGUGGCUGCAAAUAUAGAUGAAGCUUCGCUUGCCUCCUGCUGUGUGGCCUAGUCCCUAACAGGCCACAGGACAGUAACCCUCGAAGCCUGGGGCUUGGGGAUCCCUGCAGUUAGAGGACUCCUAGUGCUGGAGAAUUUUCCAGGCUAACUCCUCCUGCACUGAUCUCCAACCUCAGAGUCAUUUGUGUUGGGUGAUCACACAUCUUCAUUUGCCUAGGGCAGUCCCUGUUGAGGCUAGUUGUUUAGAUGCAAUUAUUAAUAGCCACCUUUUUAUUCUCAAAAUGUUCUGGUUCGAAUGAUGAAUUCUAGUCACCUUAUUCUUGGGCCCCUAAGCCUACAAAAUCAGAGUCAUAGUUAGAGAAAGUUGCUUCAUAUUGGAAGGGACCUCCCGGCAGAGCCUCGCCCCUCAUCAAAUGCUCCAUUCUCCCCUCCGGCAUCCUUGCCAAGCCAUCACCCAGUGUCUGCUUAUAUACCUGUAGAGACAGCAGGCUCACUGUCCCCUGAGGAAGCCUCUCUUUUUCCAGAAAGCUGUGUGGUAAAAACAGCAGGAUUCAAACCUGAAAACAGUAUGAUUGCAACUAAACAACAAAUCAUUCAGCAAAGAAAGCAGUGGGAGUGGGGGGACUAGGAAACCUGACUUUCCCCCUUCCAGCUCCUGCCGUCUUACUGUCCCUUCAUUCAACGAAUAUUUACUGUGUGCAUUUGAUGUUUCGGGGGCACUGGGGACACAAUGGUGAGUUAAACAGACUCAAAUUGAGGGACAUUCUACAAAAUAACUGGCCUGUACUCUCCCAAAAUGUCAAGGUCAUGAAGGUCAAAGACAGACUGAGGGACGGUUCCAGUUUAAAGGAGACUAAGAAGACAUGACAACCAUAGGCAACGUGUGAUCUGGGGUUUUCUUUGCUACAAAGGACACCAUCAAGACAGCUGACAAAACCUGAGUAAGGUCUGUAGAUGAGAGAAUAGUAUUGUAUCAAUAUUGAUUUCUUGAUUUUAAAAAUUGUGCUGUGGUUAUAAAGGAGAAUGUCUCUGCUUCUAGGAGACGGAAGUACUCUGGGGGAAAGGAAGAGUCUAAUUCCUAAAUGGUUCAGGGAAAAAUGCAUAUACAUAGAGAGAAGGAUAAAAUAAAUGUGAUAAAAUGGUACCAUUUGGGGACUCUGGGUGAAGGGUGUAUGGGAAUUCUUUGUUCUAUUCUUGGAAUUUUUCUAUGUGUGAAUUAGGUCAAAAUAAAGUUAAAAGAAAAAAUAAGUCUCAGAGAAAGUUUUUUUUUUUCUUUUAAGAAAGACAGACUUGACUUUACAGACCUCACAGUGUAGCUGGGGGCGACAGGUACUAAUAUAAAUAAUUACACUAAUUAACGACAAAAUUGCAACUGUGAACAGUGCUAUAAAAGGAGGGAGAUCUGGUGGCGAAAGGGUUUAGAGCAGGCAGUUUUACCCAAAUCAGGGGAGCGAGGGGAGAUAUCUGCAAUCAUGGAGCAACGCCCCAAAGCACGAGUUAACCGGGGAGCAGAAGUCGGUUCCAGGCUCUCGCAGCCCGAUUUUUCUUCUGACCCCUGACUCCACUUUUCUGCAACUGCCAUGUAUGAAUGUGAUAACCAGAAUGGGUAUGAGGGGCUGCGAGGUGAAGUAAGUGGACAAGAUCUAAGCUCAGGCUGUCAUCAUCCCCUCUCUAGACACACCAGUGAGUGGUCAGAGUCAAGUGGCAAAUGACAGAGUUGGCGAAUGCCUCUCUCACCAAGACUGUCAGGUGUAGACUGAGGCCGACUCAGUCGACCUGAAGCAAGUGGUGUGCAGAGGCCAGGUCUUUACAUCCUCCUCCCAAAGCCAGACCGGUGCCUUUAAUCGACACAGCAUCCAGCAGGCUGUGGCCCCUUUGUGGUCCUGCGUCCUGCUCCUUUAGGACCUGUAGCUCUGCCCUGGGAAUGGGCCAUCACUCACCCGCAGCGUCUCUCUGCACUGAACGCCAAACCAAGUGCUCUUCUGGGGGGUCAAGGGCCUGACCACAAAGGGAGGGGACAUUUUUCUGUGCCUUAAUGAGUUUUCGCUUAAUAGCUUCUUGAAAAUGGUCAAUUUACAGGAAACGGGUUCUAGUAUUCUCCUUUUACAGUUAAAUGAUUUGUCUAGGGACUGACUUGGGUUCAAAUCUUAGCUGUCCUACUUAAGAGCAAUGUGCCCUUUGGGUAUUCACUUCAUCUCUCUGAGCCUCGGCUUUCUGAUCCCAUCUGUAAACUGGGGCUGGUAGGAAUUUGCAAGAUUUUGGAACUAAAAGGUACUGUUUAUUCCCUUUUGAGGCUUCGAUAGGCUCAGUACAAAAAAUUCACUCCAAACUACACACAGCGCUUAAAUAUUUACUAAAAGCUUGUGUAUCCUGACAGUAAAUCAUGGGACCUGAAUUUUCCAGGACGAUCCCAAUUUCAAAUCCUCUGUCCUAACUUUCCACAUAAACCAUCGAAAUGUCUCAAAAAUUCCACUCUCUCAGUAUCCAAACAACACCUCUCAGGGCUCUUCUUGUACAAAAAAGCAGCACAAACAUUCUUUUUCAGACUACAGAGCCCAAUCUCUGAUUUAGAAAGUGUAGUCAGUGGGGCCCUGUAGGCCCCCUGAAGGAAAUGGGGUCAGGGAGAAAAAACCAUGGCAGUCAGCACUCAUCACAACUUUCAGACUUGGUUGUUUCCUGGCACAGUGGUCUGAAGAGCAGAGAGCAGCCAGAAGCCAUACUGUGAUCAGAACAUCACCCAAAGAAGGGUACAGAUUGGGGAGAGGAGCUCUGCCCACCUAGGUACCAAGUGGCCACUACCUGGGAGGGCAGCAUGGCCAGAGCGUUGCUCUGAGGAUUAAAUGAAAGAGCUAAUCUUUAGAAAGCACUCAGGAACCGUGCCUGGAAGCCAGGAAGUAUCAAAUCAGUGUUGAAUAACUAAACCAGAGGCAUCUCUGGUGGAAGGUGCUCGUGCCUCAAAGACAGCCCAGAGGCAUUGCUCCUAUCCAGGGAAAAGGAGAAUGGACACUUACUUCUGGGUUGAGUGAGGCCAGGCCCCUGAACAGAGAUGGGGGAGUAUUUUAACUACAGGAGGUAGGGUCCUGCAUUAGCCAAGCUCAGAAGGCUGGACUUAGGGAAGAGUCACCAUUCCUGAAGUACAAAAGGUCUCUUCAUGCCUCUGAGCCUUUGCAUCUGCUGUUCUGUCUGCCCCCUGAACACCAUUUUUUUCCUGCCUUCAAGGCUAAAUUUAAAUGCCAGCUACUCCCUAGGAUGUUCCCUGAUGGCUGUCAGAAUGAGUGGCUGUCUCUCCUGGUCUCUCUUAUGUCUGGCUUUAUCUUCUUUUAAAGCAGUUAUCAGAUAGAUAUAGAUAGAAAGAGAGACAGACAGACAGGAAGACAGACAAGACAGAUCUCACACAUACGUCACUAUCAUCCCAACUCUGCCAUGAAUCCUUCCAAGAUAUGGGUUCGAAUUUCAUCUCUGUAACCCUGGUGCCUGACACAUAGUAUAGGCUCAAUAAAUGUCUGAAUUUGUGGUUAAAUACGUGUUCACAGCUGGUCUUCACCAGAGGCACAACCAGAAGCUGUGUGACGCAAGAUCUCUGAGUCUUGGAACCCAUGACCAGAUCGGAUUUCAGCCAGGGGCCAACCAAGUACUCUCUUUAGUCCCCCCUCAGGUAGAUGAAAGACAUCUGUGACAACGGAGCCUGCGGUUGCCAGGACCCAGACCAGAGCAGUGUGGACACUGACCAGGUCCCAUCCUGUCUCUAUUACAGUUGGUAAGUAGAGCCAAGGGUUGGGAAGAACACCAGCAGGCUGCCCUGCCCCCACCAAUCUGUCAACGCCCUGGCCAGUGGAGAGUGCCUUAGGCAUUCCAGCCCCUGCAAUAGACCCUGGGAAGAGAUGGAAGGAUUGGCUCUGCUGUCCAGGAACCAUUGUCUGGUGGAAGGAAAGUGAGCACUGGAGUUAUGAUCAAUUGGCGCUCUCCUAGGGAGAGAGGCAGGUCCCUUCCCAACCUGUCACAAACCCUGAGGGUUGGGGGAAGAAGGUAGGGUGCCUCGUCUUCCUGCUCCCUCCAAUCUCCAAAGCUAAACCCCUCUGGUGGUUUAUGUCCAUCCUAGAAAACAAAACCCCUCAUGCACCUGGACCCGAGGUUCAGAAGGUCACAAUUCAUCCCUCUUGUUCCUAGCCCCAUACUACCUUUGCUAGCUCAGUUUCCUUCACUGCAAGAGAGGAGAGAGAGGACACUGAAGUUAAAUAAUGUACGUGAAACCUCCCAGUUCACAGUCAACAAUCAAUCCCCUGAGACCACUUACCAGCUUGGAACCCCAAUUUCUUUCAGGGAUAAGAUUUGUCUGACCAGGUUCCUGAUGUGUGAAUGAGAAUGUUAAAAGCUACCAGGAUAUUUUUCUAUAAAAUGCAGAAAGGAGGGCUCAGAUAUAGGACUAGUCAAGCCGUGUGAGACCCUGGAUUUGACUAUGUUAACUUAGGUUCUUUCUCCUGUCUCAAGUUGUUCCUGACGGCCUUCUAGGUGUCUGACCUGACCAGGCCCUGCCCUCUCCUUGCAGAGAAAUUCCCCCAAGCACCCUGGGUUCACUGGGGUCCACUGGCCAACCCUGCAUCCUCCACCUCCAUCACUGUAUCUGCCAUGUAGAAGCAGCUCGGUAAAUGCUGGCUGAACAGAAUGCUUCAGCCACUCUUAAAUGCCUUCAGAACUUGACCUUUUACAUUCCCCAGCUAAUGUCUAAUUUGCAUAUAGGAGUCUGUUUUGAGAGAUGGCAAAUCACCAGAGACAACUUGGAAUCAAUAUAGAGUAUUAGGCAUGUUUUAUUCUACUCUAAUUCUCUGCAAAUUGGUAUUCCAUUAACUGUAUGUGGGAUUUAUGGGAGCUCACUAUAAACUAGAAUAUUUAACUAGAACGACCUACUCUCUGUCAUAUAAUAGCCUACUAUUGUUAAUGUUCAACUAGUCAAUUUCAGAAAGACUUCCAGCUUCUAAGCUACUUUACAUCUUGAUUUAAUCGUAAGGAAAGGCAUCUAUUUGAAAGUCUCCGUACUAUAAAAUGCAGCUUGAUGCAGAAGAAAAAGAACUACCCUGAGUUAUAUCCCACCAUAUAACGUGUAAAUUGGCUGCUCAAAGCCUCAAUUUCUAAAUCUGUAAAAUGGGAAUAACAUCAACCUCCCUCAUUGUAAAAAUUAAAUGAGUUGAUGCAUGUGGAUGCACGCUGUGCUGUUCUAUAAGGUUACACAAAGAUUAGUUAUUAUAAUAACUACAUAAGAUGAAAUUCUCAAACAACUCUGAUAGGCUAAUGACAGAAAGCAAGAGCAGUUCUAAAGAGGGAGAUGGGCUAUUUGGCCCCCCAGGGGACAUCUGGCCAUGUCUGGACGCAUUUUUGGUUGGCAUAACUGAGAGGGAUGCUACUGGAAUCUAGUGGGUAGAGAUCAGGGAUGCUGCUAAAUAUCCUACAGUAUACAGGACAGGUCCUACAACAAAGAAUUAACUAACCCCAGCCAUGAGGUUAAGAAACCCUGGUCUAAUAAUCACUGAAGGUUGGGUGUAGAAACUUUUUAGAACAGAAAUCUUUCUAACCAGGCUUUACUUUCCAAGCAUCAUCUGCUUAAACAUUUGCAAGAUGGAUCGUCACACAAAACAGCUCUUUUGGAAGUAAAGCUGAACUGCCAACUUCUGGAGUUUCUGAAUGUAUAAAACUGCUUUUAAAGAAGAUGCUCUCUGAUUACAGUUCAGUAAAAUUGUUUUUCCAAAGCCCUUGACUUCAGUAGUUCUCCAGGGCACAAGGACAGGGUCUGUCACUCUGCCACUAGGCCCUGAAGAUGCUUUCGUAAUUCUAAUUUCCUGGUGAAAUGGGAGCCACGAGGGUCUCUAAACGAAUUAAAUUCACAUCAAGCCAACUGCUCGCUUGCUUUGUGCCGGGCGCGGUGCCAAACACCUCCACAUAAUUUAUCCCACUUAAUCUACCCAACAAGCCAAGGAGGUGGGCAUUAUUACCGGCUGUUUGCAGGGGAGGAAAUUGGGGAUCAGAGAGGUUAAACAACUCGCCCAAGGUCACCAGCUGGCUGAGGAGCCCAACUUGAUCGGAGGUCUCCAGUUUCCAAGUCACAAGCUCUUUUUCACCACCUCGGAAAACCCAGGUGUCAAGUUGUCUCAACUUUCCAUGAAUUUUUAAGGCAACCGCAACUUCUCACUGUCUUACCGCAGGUACCUGAUAAAUCAUUCCAUAUCGCCCGCGGAACAGGGAGGAUUUAUUGGCGCUGGAGUUCGUGCCAGGCCCAGGAAAUGCCAUCUUUGAAAGCCGAGAGGCGGAUUCGCCCUGGUAGCCGAGAAGAUCCUCAGCAUGACUCUCCAGGGCACUGAAGCCGGGUGAUAUCAGCAGGAUCAAAGCUCAGCCAACUGCAGCACCUGGAACACAGAAUCAUUAUCAUCGUUCAUCAGGAAACCGAGGAUGGACCAAAAUGGCAAUGUGUUUCAAUGGAACAACUAAUUUCCUUUUCUCUUGCUACCAGACUAAGCUGUUUCUUGAGACCCUUCGAGGACCUGAAGGGUAGGGACCCAUUGUCAACACAGAGAAGGACAAUAUUUGUCUGACUCUGUGUUAAUCGCAGAUAUGUGUCUCAGUCAGUCACCAAAAAGUUGUACCCACAGCAUAGGGGCUAAGAGAAAAAGUUCUCCUCUUCUUUAUCACCAAUGAUGAUAGGGUACUGGUGGGGAUGAUAAUUAGAACAGACAGACCUGGGUUCAAAUCCCUCCUCUAUUAUGUACUAGUUGGACAAGUGACUGAAAGUUUAAGAGCCUCAGUUUCCCUAUCUGUGAAAUGAGAAUAACGGCAACCACCUCAUAGAAUGUCGUAGGGGUUAAGUGAAAUUAUACAUUUUGAACACUUAGCACUGUUUCUGGGACAAUGUAAGUGCUUUAUAAGUAUUAGCCAUUAUCAAUAUUAUUUGAACAGUAGUAUCUAUUGUAAGAUAAAUCUGUAGUAUCAGAAUACAGACAUUUAUUAGGUUUUAGUAGUAAAUAUGUGAAAUGUGCUUGGUUAGAAGGCUGUCAGGUUUUGGCUUUCUUAUGACCAAGGAUGUGAAAUGAGGCAAGGACAGUGGUGAAUACGACCCAAGGAUCCUGGCUGAGGACAGAGGGCCUGACUAUCCCUUCUGGUGGCCUAAGUUUGAGUUGCCUCUUUAUGCUGGUGACACCAUGAAAAGCUUAUACUCGGCAAUAGUAAUGAGCACCGUAGCUCAUGAGCCCCACCUAGAAGAAGGAGUUGGUGGCAUUGGAAGGAGUUGGAAGGUCAGUGAGAUUACCCAGGAAGAGUGUGAGCUCAAGAUAGAUAUCUUGGGCCUAGAGUUUAAAAGUCUCUUGUGCAUGUACCUGCCUGUAAUAUCUCUUCCAGGCAUGCUGAGACUUGUGAACAUAAACCUCAUCCCCUAGUCCGUCCUGUCUGCCCACGCCACAGUGGGGAGAACAUCCUGGUUCUCACUCUAUUUCCUCCCUAGGAGAGACACAGUCUUGUCUAGUGAGCUUUGUGCCACCAGGCCAAACUCUCAGCUCUUAAAGCCAUGUUCUCCGUACCUCCGAAUGCUUCUGCUUUCAUUCCUCUUCACCACAGGGCCGGCACCAGCACCAGCAUCGGCACCAGCACCAGCAUCAGCACCAGCACCGGGGGCUUCCUGGAAAAGUGGCUGGAGACUCGACCCCCUUGACCAUGAAGCCAGGCAGAUCUUGCUUCUCUGGGAACCACUGGGAAUGACCCAAGUACAAAGGUGUAAAUCAAAGUGCUCCGGUGUUUCGAUAUCUUCAGAUUUUCAUUGAACUGGCAACAUCAGCAGCACUGUCUGUGCCUACUGCACCGGUAUGACUGUUAGGAUUCAAACCGUCACCAGAGCCCCAGUAGACAAGCUUCUUUGACCUCACCAGUGAUGCCAGAACAUUCCGUGGUUCAGUUCAAAUUCAUACCCAGCAACUGUAAGACUCUCCAAUGGCAGUUCCCUUUUCCCAAUGAAAUGGAUGUGCUUUCGUAAAAUAAAUAAAUAAAUAUAGUUUUAUUGAGGUGUAACUUACAUAUUAAAAUGAACCCAUCUUAUGGGUACGUUUGGUGACCUUCGACAUAUUUAUACACCUGUAUAAUCAGUAUCACAAUAUAUAGAACAUUUCCAUCAUCCUAAAAAUGUUUCCUGUGCCCUUUUCAGUCAACUUUUUACCUACACUUGGUCCUAGGCAUCCACUGAUCUGCUUUCUGUCACAACAGAUUAAAUUUAUCUUUCUUAUCGUUUCAUAUAAAUGAAAUCAUAUAGUAUGUAUUUUUUAUGUCCGGAUUUUUUCACUUAGCAUAAGAACAUGGAGAUUCAUCUAUGUCAUUGUAGGUAUCAUAGGCUAUUUUUAUUAUUUCUAAGUUUUCACUUGUCUGAGUAUACUACUAUUCAUUUAUCUAUUCUCCUUGUUAAUGGUUAUUUGAAUUGUUUCCAGUUUUUGUUGGUAUGAAUAAAACGGCUAUGAACAUUGCAUACUAGUCUUUGUGUAGACAUAUAUUUUCAUUUAUCUUGAGUAACUUAGGAGUGAAAUUGCUGAGU